rnacentral:rRNA from 1 species
UGGCGGCGUGCCUAAUACAUGCAAGUCGAACGCUUCACUUCGGUGAAGAGUGGCGAACGGGUGAGUAAUACAUAAGUAACCUGGCAUCUACAGGGGGAUAACUGAUGGAAACGUCAGCUAAGACCGCAUAGGUGUAGAGAUCGCAUGAACUCUAUAUGAAAAGUGCUACGGGACUGGUAGAUGAUGGACUUAUGGCGCAUUAGCUGGUUGGUAGGGUAACGGCCUACCAAGGCGACGAUGCGUAGCCGACCUGAGAGGGUGACCGGCCACACUGGGACUGAGACACGGCCCAGACUCCUACGGGAGGCAGCAGUAGGGAAUUUUCGGCAAUGGGGGAAACCCUGACCGAGCAACGCCGCGUGAAGGAAGAAGUAAUUCGUUAUGUAAACUUCUGUCAUAGAGGAAGAACGGUGGAUAUAGGGAAUGAUAUCCAAGUGACGGUACUCUAUAAGAAAGCCACGGCUAACUACGUGCCAGCAGCCGCGGUAAUACGUAGGUGGCGAGCGUUAUCCGGAAUUAUUGGGCGUAAAGAGGGAGCAGGCGGCACUAAGGGUCUGUGGUGAAAGAUCGAAGCUUAACUUCGGUAAGCCAUGGAAACCGUAGAGCUAGAGUGUGUGAGAGGAUCGUGGAAUUCCAUGUGUAGCGGUGAAAUGCGUAGAUAUAUGGAGGAACACCAGUGGCGAAGGCGACGAUCUGGCGCAUAACUGACGCUCAGUCCCGAAAGCGUGGGGAGCAAAUAGGAUUAGAUACCCUAGUAGUCCACGCCGUAAACGAUGAGUACUAAGUGUUGGGAGUCAAAUCUCAGUGCUGCAGUUAACGCAAUAAGUACUCCGCCUGAGUAGUACGUUCGCAAGAAUGAAACUCAAAGGAAUUGACGGA